rnacentral:rRNA from 1 species
AUUGAACGCUGGCGGCAGGCCUAACACAUGCAAGUCGAGCGGUUGAAGGGAGCUUGCUCCUGGAUUCAGCAGCGGACGGGUGAGUAAUGCCUAGGAAUCUGCAUGGUAGUGGGGGAGAAGGUCCGGUAACGGGCGCUAAUACCGCAUACGCCUUGAGUGAGAAAGUGGGGGAUCUUCGGAUCUCAGGCUAUCAGAUGAGCCUAGGUCGGAUUAGCUAGUUGGUGGGGUAAAGGCCCACCAAGGCGACGAUCCGUAACUGGUCUGAGAGGAUGAGCAGUCACACUGGAACUGAGACACGGUCCAGACUCCUACGGGAGGCAGCAGUGGGGAAUAUUGGACAAUGGGCGAAAGCCUGAUCCAGCCAUGCCGCGUGUGUGAAGAAGGUCUUCGGAUUGUAAAGCACUUUAAGUGGGGAGGAAGGGCAGUAAGUUAAUACCUUGCUGUUUUGACGUUACCAACAGAAUAAGCACCGGCUAACUUCGUG